ACAUGCUUUUUCCCAUCAGAGCCUGCCUGUUCUGUAAGGAAAAACAACACAAAACAAAAACAUGUUUGCUGCACCACCAUCAGCCCUCUCCCAACACAGUGCCAGCAGGAACCAGGACAUCUUGCAAUUCAGCAAACAUCUGCUGGGAACCUGACGUGUGUCUGAGCUGGGAUCUGGGGACGCCAGAUGAAUUAAGCACACCUUGGGGAUACUGCGGGUUUGGUUCCAGACCACUGCAAUAAAGCGAGUCACAUGAACUUUUUGCUUUCCCAGUGCACAUAAAAUUUAUGUUUACACUACACUGUGGUGUAUUAAGUGUGCAAUAGCAUUACGUCUAAAAAAUGUAUGUAUCUUAAUUAAAAAUACUUUAUUGCUAAAAAUUGCUAACCAUCAUCUGAGCCUUCAGCAAGUCGUAAUCUUUUUGCUGGUGGAGGGUCUUGCCUCCAUGUUGAUGGCUGCUGACUGAGCAGGGCGGUGGUUGCUGAAGGCUGGGCUGGCCAUGGCAAUUUCUUAAAAUAAAACAACAAUGAAGCUUGCUGCAUCGAUUGACUCUUCCUUUCAUGAACAAUUUCUCUAUAGCAUGCAAUCCUAUUUUACAGCAUUUUACCCACAGUGGAACUUCUUUCAAAAUUGGACUCAAUCCCCUUAAACCCUGCUGCUGCUCUAUCAACUAAGUUUAUGUAAUAUUCUCAAUACUUUGUUGUCA